rnacentral:ncRNA from 1 species
CCCGGGCCUUGUACACACCGCCCGUCACACUAUAGGAGCUGGCCAUGUUUGAAGUCAUUACCCUUAACCGUAAGGAGGGGGAUGCCUAAGGCUAGGCUUGCGACUGGAGUGAAGUCGUAACAAGGUAGCCGUACUGGUAGGUGCGGUUGGAUCACCUGCUUU